UACUUUGUGUUCUUCACUCUCGCGCUGUGUUGUGAUCGUUCGAAACUCAUUGCCAGAACGAAUGCAAAUUUCAUUUGGGAAGGAUCGGUGUCGGAAGAUGCAGUGAAAAUUAUGAAAUGUUAAUAGAAAAGUGAUUAAGUAAAUCGUGAAAGAUGUCAACGCAGGCGUAAAUGCAGUUUGUUUUGUUACAUGAUCUACGGCUAUUUCAUUACCAAAGCUCCUGAUAACAGAUCAAAGCAGAUGGAUCGGGCAUACAGAGUCGCCGUUUAACUUUAAAUAUCUUCCUGAUCGGCAAACACAUCAAACAGCAUGUUUUUUUCAACAGCACGCACCAUCGGUGGAGCAAGCAGUUAACGUUUUGUUCGCCCAGCACGCACCAUCAAGUAUUGAAAUGUUUUCAAAUAGCUUUGUGAAUAAAAACCUGCACACUUACUGUAGGAAUUUCCUGGAAUUUUUUGGUCGGGCUACGCUCGCCGGAAUGGUGUGUCCGUUGAGAAGAAAGAACCCGCUUGGCAAAGAUUAACUCAUUUUGAUGCCUCUCGCUACCCCUAGCCCUAGUGUUGAAGCAGUCAUGCGACACACUCGCACUCCACCACCCCAUCCCAUGCCUAAACGCUCCCACCAUCGAGGUGUUAACCAAAAUUUCGCUGUGUGCAUGAGAUACAGCUCUCGCACUCCCUCCACCCCCAUUCCUGAACGCUCCCACAGUUGCGAUGAUUGCUGAUUUUUGCUCUGAGCGUGAGACCCACACUCACAAUUUUCCAUUCGCCACCACCAUCCCCCACGUAUGUACGCUCCCUCCUCAUUAGUGUUGGUUAAAAUCAGUUAUGAACCGCGAGAUCCCGCUCUACCCAGAGGCACUAUGGACGGAAGACAUUAUGGACAUUCUAGGGUAGGAAAAUAAAUAAUUUUUAUAUACAAAUAUAUGAUUUAUGAAAUACUAUUAAUUGAAUACUUCAUUGAGGAUUAUUACAAUAUGCAUAAUAUUUCAAGCAUAAUGGUCUUUAGCUUGGUCAUUUUAUUGUGACAAUUAUUCGUUAUAAUAUAUUCUGCACGAAAAAUUAUGACAUUUGAUUCGAGCUGUCCCAUAGUGACAGUCCCAUUUUGUUGUUCUUUCUCCCUCACACUUUGAGAGUUCAACA